CUUUUACUUCAGCUAUUUCCUUCUGAUUAAUAACCAUUGCUGGAGAGCUGUUGUGGUGUUUGGAGGCAUAUCCUGAUCAUCAUCUACUAGAACAGCAAGAGAAGAUAAAACUGGAUGUGCGAGUUCAAAGGUCUACAUUUUGCAAUACGAGAGAACAGCUGAAUUGAACUAGGGAGACAUGAAUUUGUCAUGAAUAAAUCUUGCAGAAGGACUGUAUUCAAACUAUGGAGAUAUGAUAUACAGUGAAUAUAUUUGUGGUUAGCAAAAUGAUGUUACA
rnacentral:lncRNA from 1 species